rnacentral:misc_RNA from 1 species
GAUGAAGAACGUAGCGAAAUGCGAUAAGUAAUGUGAAUUGCAGAAUUCAGUGAAUCAUCGAAUCUUUGAACGCACAUUGCGCCCGCCAGUAUUCUGGCGGGCAUGCCUGUUCGAGCGUCAUUUCAACCAUCAAGCCCUGCUUGCGUUGGGGUCCUGCGGCUGCCCGCAGGCCCUGAAAACCAGUGGCGGGCUCGCUAGUCACACCGAGCGCAGUAAUACAUCUCGCUUUGGGCGUGCGGCGGGUUCUUGCCGUUAAACACCCCCUUUUUACCAAGGUUGACCUCGGAUCAGGUAGGAAUACCCGCUGAACUUAAGCAUAUCAAUAAACGGAGGA